rnacentral:rRNA from 1 species
UANGUAGCNNNAUAAUUUGUCUUUUCNNNNAAGACCAGUAUGAAUGGCAUAACNAANNNNNNNNGNCUCCUUAUAUAAAAUAAAAAUUGGUUUAAAAGUGAAAAAACUUUUAUUUCUAUGAUGGACGAGAAGACCCUAUAGAGUUUCAGUGCAAUACUAAUUAACACAAAUUAAUAGUAUACACUUUUAUUGGGGCAAUAAAAGAACAAAAAAAAUCUUAAUAUUCAUAUAUACCCUCAAAGAGAACAAAUUUAACUACCUUAGGGAUAACAGCGUAAUUUUACCAAAGAGCUCUAAUCGACGGUAAAGAUUACGACCUCGAUGUUGGACUAAGGGAAGAAUCAUAUGCAGAAGUAUGAAAUUCUAAGCCUGUUCGGCUUUUAAAACCUUACAUGAUCUG